rnacentral:ncRNA from 1 species
GUGAUCAGGGGUGCCCACAAGGCUGAGAUGAGCGUGACGCUCGAACCCUUUAACCUGAUACGGAUAAUACCGGCGUAGGAAGAUCUUGAAAUU